UAUCUCUGUAGAGUCUGCAUAUCAAUAAGCGGAGGAAAAGAAACUAACUAGGAUUCCCUCAGUAACGGCGAGUGAAGCGGGAAGAGCUCAAAUUUGAAAUCUUCAAGGUUCUACCUUGACGAAUUGUAGUUUAAAGAAGUGUUUUCUGUUGGAGUUUUGGUAAAAGUUCUUUGGAAUAGGACAUCAUAGAGGGUGAGAAUCCCGUAUUUGACCAUUAUUUCCAACUUUGUGAUACACUUUCAAAGAGUCGGAUUGUUUGGGAAUGCAGUCCAAAAUGGGUGGUAAAUUUCAUCUAAAGCUAAAUAUUGGCGAGAGACCGAUAGCGAACAAGUACCGUGAGGGAAAGAUGAAAAGAACUUUGAAAAGAGAGUUAAACAGUACGUGAAAUUGUCAAAAGGGAAGCGUUUGACACCAGUGUUGUUUUCUCGAAAAUCAAUUAAAAAAGGCCGGAUUUUGUGUUGUAUUGACCUUAAAAGCUUUCUUCACUCUUUUCUUGUCUUUUUUAAUGCACUUUUCGUUUAACAAGUCAACAUCAGUUUCUUUUGUUGUAAAAGGGUCAUUGGAAGGUGGCUUUCUUUUCGGAGAAAGUGUUUAUAGCCUUUGAUCUCUGCAACCGGAGAGACUGAGGUCUGCAGCGUAGACUCUUCGGGGUUAGAUACAUUUGUGCUAAGCUAUAGCUUUUUAUAGACAACUUGUUGACUAUAUUUAGUCUUGUGGCUUACUCGCUUAUGCUAUUUUACCUACGCUUAGGAUGUUGAUGUGAUACUGCGAGCA
rnacentral:rRNA from 1 species